rnacentral:rRNA from 1 species
GACGAACGCUGGCGGCGUGCUUAACACAUGCAAGUCGAACGGACUACUUUGCUUCGGUAAGGUGGUUAGUGGCGAACGGGUGAGUAACGCGUAGGCAACCUACCUCUUAGAUGGGGACAACAUCGCGAAAGCGGUGCUAAUACCGAAUGAAGUGACUUUCCUGCAUGGGAGAGAUACUAAAGGUGGCCUCUAUUUAUAAGCUACCACUGAGAGAUGGGUCUGCGUCUGAUUAGCUAGUUGGCGGGGUAACGGCCCACCAAGGCGACGAUCAGUAGCCGGUCUGAGAGGAUGAACGGCCACAUUGGGACUGAGACACGGCCCAAACUCCUACGGGAGGCAGCAGUGGGGAGUCUUCCGCAAUGGACGAAAGUCUGACGGAGCAACGCCGCGUGAGUGAAGAAGGUUUUCGGAUCGUAAAGCUCUGUUGUUUGAGACGAAUGUGCCUGUUUCGAAUAGGGAUAGGUAAUGACGGUAUUAAACGAGAAAGCCACGGCUAACUACGUGCCAGCAGCCGCAGUAA